CCUACGGGUGGCAGCAGUGAGGAAUAUUGGUCAAUGGACGAGAGGCUGAACCAGCCAAGUAGCGUGAAGGAUGACUGCCCUAUGGGUUGUAAACUUCUUUUAUAAAGGAAUAAAACGCGGCACGUGUGCCUUUUUGCAUGUACUUUAUGAAUAAGGAUCGGCUAACUCCGUGCCAGCAGCCGCGGUAAUACGGAGGAUCCGAGCGUUAUCCGGAUUUAUUGGGUUUAAAGGGAGCGUAGGUGGGUUGUUAAGUCAGUUGUGAAAGUUUGCGGCUCAACCGGAAAAUUGCAAUUGAUACUGGCAGUCUUGAGUACAGUUGAGGUAGGCGGAAUGCGUGGUGUAGCGGUGAAAUGCUUAGAUAUCACGAAGAACCCCGAUUGCGAAGGCAGCUUACUAAACUGUGACUGACAUUGAUGCACGAAAGUGUGGGUAUCAAACAGGAUUAGAUACCCGAGUAGUC
rnacentral:rRNA from 1 species